CUGAUGCCUGGAGUAGAUAGAUGGGUGAUCCAAUAUAAACAAAUUGCUGGAUAUGAUAAUCAAAUUGGGUGAAAAAAGAAGAAAGAGAGAGACAUACCUAACACUGUAACCAAUUUGACAGGAAACUUUUUACUAUCUGGUCUGCAAUUAAGACCUUCUGCUCCAUCUGCAAGAUAGCCGUUAGGACAGUGGCAAAAGAACUUCCCUCCUGGAUUAACCUUGCAACUCUCGCUUUUAAGUGGAACCAAUAUAGGAGUGAAGGCAAAGAUCAAGCCGUCCUGUGGCAAUCUGUUGGCUGUAAGUAUACUUUCUACAUCGGCCCCAAAAUCAUUCGCAAUUGAUGUGAUCGAAUCACCCCAUGUCACCAUAUACAUCAACAAGGAGAUCACUCCAUUUUCUGUUUGGUUUUGACUUGGACAAGCACAUCUUAGUGGAACCAUCAGCUCUGUUCCCACCUGAAGAUUUUUGGGGUCAUAGUAGUUUUGACCCAUUAGGGCCUGGCAAGUAGUCAGGCCUUGGUAAGUGUCAUUUGCUAUACUAAAAUAGGUUUCUGUACUUUUAAUGGUGUAAGGUGUAUUAUGCUGGUAAAUGCUACCUGUACAUGAACAAGAAACAGGAACU
rnacentral:misc_RNA from 1 species